UACGAGGGGGGCAAAUGUUGUUCGGAAUCACUGGGCGUAAAGGGCGCGUAGGCGGGUUCUUAAGUAAGGUGUUUAAUCCCGGGGCCCAACCCCGGACCGGCACUUUAAACUGGGAAUCUUGAAUAGUGGAGAGGACGGUGGAAUUGGGGGUGUAGCGGUGGAAUGCGUAGAGAUCCCCAAGAACACCAGUUGCGAAGGCGGCCGACUGGACACAUAUUGACGCUGAGGCUCGAAAGCAUGGGGAGCAAACAGG
rnacentral:rRNA from 1 species